GAACAUCAGACUUAUCUUUCCAUGAUAGAACUGCGAAAUCGUGAGAAUAAUUUGAGGAUUAGAUCAUUACAAGAGGCAGAAGAAGGAAACUUAACUGAGUUUUUGACCAAAGAAUUUUCCAAGUUCUGGAAUUUGGAAGAAAAGGACUUUAAAAUUGUGUCAGCUUUUAGACUUGGAAGAUUCAUAAAGAAGGAGAGGCCCAGAGACUGUUUGAUUACAUUGAGAUCGAAGGAGGAAAGGGAUAAGAUUUUGGGCCUACAUUACGAAAAGUCACUGGAGGUUUUGGAUAGAAGAAUUGAGAUCUACAAAGAUAUUCCAAGACAACUGCUGGAUCUUAGAGCCGCCUACUCUGAACUUGCCAAACUACUAAGGAGCAACGCAAUUCUAUUUAGGUGGGAAUUUCCCCAAGGAUUAUCUUUUACCUUUAGAGGGAGAAAGGUUAAAAUUAGAACAUCGGAAGAGAGAGAUAAAUUUUUGGCUACAUACGGAGAGGACCUACAAAAAGGAAUUGAAUUACCUUCUGGGCCUGGGGCAAAGCCAGCAUUAACACCAGCACCUGGGGAACUUGAAGAUCCAGAGAAGAUACCACCCCGGGAGAAAUAACCAGACAGAUCCAGGAUGUCUCUGCAACUGUUGAGUUGGAACAUUAAUGGUUGUAACAUUCC